AGACCCAGCCCACAGUUGCCAGCGUACUCUCUGGAGUGACGGGUACACUGUGGGGACCGCCGCUGCUAAAGCGGAGGAAGGAAUGGGCAACGGUAGGUCAGUAUGCCCCGAAUAUCCCGGGCUACACGCGAGCUACAAUGGUUGGUACAAUGGGUAUCUACCCCGAAAGGGGACGGGAAUCUCCUAAAACCAAUCUUAGUUCGGAUUGAGGGCUGCAACUCGCCCUCAUGAAGCUGGAAUCCGUAGUAAUCGCGUUUCAACAGAACGCGGUGAAUACGUCCCUGCUCCUU
rnacentral:rRNA from 1 species